rnacentral:rRNA from 1 species
AGAGUUUGAUCCUGGCUCAGAUUGAACGCUGGCGGAAUGCUUUACACAUGCAAGUCGAGCGGCAGCGCGGGGCAACCUGGCGGCGAGCGGCGAACGGGUGAGUAACAUAUCGGAACGUACCUAUUUGAGGGGGAUAACGCAGCGAAAGUUGUGCUAAUACCGCAUAAGACCUGAGGGUGAAAGUGGGGGACCGCAAGGCCUCACGCGAAUAGAGCGGCCGAUAUCUGAUUAGCUAGUUGGUAGGGUAAAGGCCUACCAAGGCGACGAUCAGUAGCUGGUCUGAGAGGACGACCAGCCACACUGGGACUGAGACACGGCCCAGACUCCUACGGGAGGCAGCAGUGGGGAAUUUUGGACAAUGGGGGCAACCCUGAUCCAGCCAUUCCGCGUGAGUGAAGAAGGCCUUCGGGUUGUAAAGCUCUUUCGGCAGGAACGAAAAGGUCAAGGUAAAUAAUCUUGAUUGAUGACGGUACCUGAAGAAGAAGCACCGGCUAACUACGUGCCAGCAGCCGCGGUAAUACGUAGGGUGCGAGCGUUAAUCGGAAUUACUGGGCGUAAAGGGUGCGCAGGUGGUUAUUUAAGACAGAUGUGAAAUCCCCGGGCUUAACCUGGGAAUGGCAUUUGGGACUGCACGGCUGGAGUAUGGCAGAGGGGACUAGAAUUCCUGGUGUAGCAGUGAAAUGCGUAGAUAUCAGGAGGAAUACCGAUGGCGAAGGCAGGUCCCUGGGCUGAUACUGACGCUCAUGCACGAAAGCGUGGGGAGCAAACAGGAUUAGAUACCCUGGUAGUCCACGCCCUAAACGAUGUCGACUGGUUGUUGGGGGUUUGACACUCUCAGUAACGAAGCUAACGCGUGAAGUCGACCGCCUGGGGAGUACGGCCGCAGGUUAAACUCAAGGAUUGACGG